CAGGCUUCUGCCUGCUGGGCACCCUGGCUUUCUCAUACAUCCUCUGAAAUCUAGGUAGAGGCUGCCAAGCCUCCUUCACUCUUACAGUCUGCAUGACUGCAGGCUUAACACCACAUGGAAGCUGCCAAAGCAUAUGGCUUGUGUCCUUUGGAGCAGCAGCCUGAGCUGUGCCUGGGGCCGCUUGAGCCACAGCUGGAGCUGGAACAGUCUGGAUGUGGGGAGCACUGUCCCAAGGAGGCUGUGCAGAGCCAUGGGGCCCUAGGCCUGGCCCACAAAACGAUUCUUCCCUCCUAGGUCUCUGGGCCUGUGCCUGUGAUGGCAAGGGCUGCCCCUUAGAUCUCUGAAAUGCCUUCAAAGCCUUUUUCCCAUUGUCUUAGCUAUUAGUACCUGGCUCUCUUUUAGUUACUCAAAUUUCUCUAGCAAGUGGUUGCCCCACAGCCUGCUAGAAUUCCUCUACUGAAAAUACUUCUUUCUCUGUCACAUGGCCAGGCUGCAAAUUUUCUAAACUUUUACACUCUGCUUCCCCUUUAAAUAUAACUUCUAACUUUAAGUCAUUUUUUUGCUCUCACAUCUGAGUUAGGCAGUUAGAUGCAGCCAUGUCGCUUCUUGAACACUUUGCUGCUUAGAAAUUUCCUCUGCCAGAUACCCUAGGUUGUCACUCUGAAGUUCAAACUUUCAUAGGUCCCCACAGCAUGAACAAAGUGCAGCCAAGUUCUUUGCUAGGGCAUAAUGAGGGUGACCUUUGCUCCAUUUCUAGGUUCCUCAUUUCCAUCUGAGACCUCGUCAACCACGCCUUCACUUUCCAUAUCACCAUCAGCAUUCUGGUUACAACCAUUUGACCAGCCAAGCACUAUUCUAACUUCUGGGAAUACAGAAGUGCUCCUCAUGGAACUUAACAGUCUAGUGGAGGAAGAAGGACAAUAAAUGCAACAAAGAAGUAAAUUAGUCAGGAUGUCAGAGAGUGAGAUGAUAUUUAAACCAUGAGACUGAAUUUUUUUAAAAAGGAAGAGGACCGAAGACUAAGUUCUGGGCGCUCCAAUUUUAGGCAGUAGCGGAGAUGAAGAAAAACCAGCACACUAGAUGGUUAAAGAGCAGCCAACAAGAUGCUCGUUACAAUUAUUUUUUAACUUCUUAAAAUAUCUCAUUGAGGAUUCCAUUCUAAGAUGGCCGAAUAGGAACAGCUCUGGUCUGCAGCUCCCAGUGUGAUCGGCGCAGAAGACGGGUGAUUUCUGCAUUUCCAACUGAGGUACCUGGUUCAUCUCAUUGGGAUUGGUUGGACAGUGGGUGCAGCUCAUGGAGGGUGAGCCAAAGCAGGGCGGGGCACUGCCUCACCUGGGAAGUGCAAGGAGUCAGGGAAUUUCCCUUUCCUAGCCAAGGGAAGCCGUGACAGAUGGUACCUGGAAAAACGGGACACUCUCGCCCAAAUAUUGCACUUUUCCAAAGGUCUUAGCAAACAGCACACCAGGAGAUUAUAUGCCGUAUCUGGCUCAGUGCUAAUGAGCCUUGCUCACUGCUAGUGCAACAGUCUGAGAUUGACCUGCGAGGCAGCAACCUGGCAUGGGGAGGGGCAUCUGCCAUUGCUGAGGUUUGAGUAGGUAAACAAAGUGACUGUGGAAACUCGAACUGGGUGGAGCCCAUCACAGCUCAGUGAGGCUGGCUGCCUCUGUAGUUUUCACCUCUAGGGGGCAGGGCAUAGCUGAACAAAAGGCAGCAGAAACUUCUGCAGACUUAAACGUC